rnacentral:rRNA from 1 species
CAACGCCGCGUGCAGGACGACGGCCUUCGGGUUGUAAACUGCUUUCUGUGGGACGAGACACGGACGGUACCACAGGAAGAAGCCCCGGCUAACUACGUGC